UACGUAGGGGGCAAGCGUUGUCCGGAUUUAUUGGGCGUAAAGAGCGUGUAGGCGGCCAGACAAGUCUGCUGUGAAAACUCGAGGCUCAACCUCGAGCUGUCGGUGGAAACUGUCUGGCUAGAGUCCGGAAGAGGAGAGUGGAAUUCCUGGUGUAGCGGUGAAAUGCGUAGAUAUCAGGAGGAACACCGGUGGCGAAGGCGCACAUCUGGCCCGAUACUGACGCUGAGGCGCGAAAGCUAGGGGAGCAAACGGG
rnacentral:rRNA from 1 species